rnacentral:tRNA from 1 species
ACGUAGCUCAGUGGUAGAGCACUACCUUGACAUGGUAGGGGUCGGCAGUUCAAACCUGCCC